rnacentral:tRNA from 1 species
UAGGGAGACCUAUCCACUCAGAUAUCGAGAAACACAAAGUUAUGUAGAUACAGAGUUGGUCACCCAAGGUCGGUCGCAGAAAUUUGUUGAAAGCUUUCAAACUAUGAUUUGGUUCGUAUUGGGGCUAUUAGCUCAGGUGGUUAGAGCGCACCCCUGAUAAGGGUGAGGUCCCUGGUUCGAGUCCAGGAUGGCCCACCUGAAGAAAGUGUGAAGUAUGAAGUCAAAAGAUUAUUUCAUCCUUCAAACUUUAGCUUUCAGACUUGGAUUGGGGGGUUUAGCUCAGUUGGUAGAGCGCCUGCUUUGCAAGCAGGAUGUCAGCGGUUCGAGUCCGCUAACCUCCACCUGUGGGAAAAUUCAGCAACAUGACAAACAUAUAUACUCAUUGUGUAAAGGUGUCAGACUGCUGGGUUGAACUCAGCCAGAACCAUGAAAACUGCAUAGUAACGCGAAAUUAGCAGGCAGACACAGACAUUCAAGUAAUGAAAGUGUUUGCAGUGGUGAACACCAAUGUAGUCUCAGGCGCCAAGCGUGAUGAGACAGU